rnacentral:lncRNA from 1 species
GUCCCCAAAAGUCAUGUAGAAUUGGUAAUAGAUUGUUCUAGUGUCAAGACUUCUACACAUAUCAUUCAUGGUGGACAAGAAGGACACGUCUCAAGCAGGCUGGUAUUGCCGAUAACAACAAAUGACACACAUUGUUGGAGCAUAAGGUUGGUGCUCAGAGUGAAGCCAAUCAGCAAAUACCAUCACAGCUUCAACAUUUAAACUAUUGAACAUUCUCUGAAAAGAAAUAGGGAUCCAUGACCAAGCAAAAAAGUUCGAUAUAGUGAAUAUUAAGGAGUACAUAUCCUACAGGGUGACAUGAUACUGCAAGAUGUGAUUCUGACAAAAGGCCAUUUCAGGUCCACGCAGUUUGGUC